GUCCACGCCGUAAACUAUGUCUACUAGCCGUUGGGAGACUUGAUCUCUUAGUGGCGCAGCUAACGCGAUAAGUAGACCGCCUGGGGAGUACGGUCGCAAGACUAAAACUCAAAGGAAUUGACGGGGGCCCGCACAAGCGGUGGAGUAUGUGGUUUAAUUCGACGCAACGCGAAGAACCUUACCCGGGCUUGACAUCGAGGGAAAGCCUCUAGAAAUAGAGGUCCUCCCCUUCGGGGGAUCCAAAGACAGGUGCUGCAUGGCUGUCGU
rnacentral:rRNA from 1 species